rnacentral:rRNA from 1 species
AUUGAACGCUGGCGGCAGGCCUAACACAUGCAAGUCGAACGAGUGGCGGACGGGUGAGUAAUGUCUGGGAAACUGCCUGAUGGAGGGGGGUAACUACUGGAAACGGUAGCUAAUACCGCCUACCCUAGGAUGUGCCCAGAUGGGAUUAGCCAGUAGCUGGGGGAAAGGCUCACCUAGGCGAAGAUCCCUAGCUGGUAUGAGAGGAUGACCAGCCACACUGGAACUGAGAAACGUUCCAGACUCCUACGGGAGGCAGCAGUGGGGAAUAUUGCACAAUGGGCGCAAGCCUGAUGCAGCCAUGCCGCGUGUAUGAAGAAGGCCUUCGGGGUGUAAAGUACUUUCAGCGGGGAGGCGUUACCCGCAGAAGAAGCACCGGCUAACUCCGUGCCAGCAGCCGCGGUAAGUC